rnacentral:lncRNA from 1 species
UUAGAGAGGAAAAAAAGUUUUCUCUUGGUAUAACUCUAGGGUGGGAGAACUAUCUUUGUGAUACACCUUGGGAAACACUUAUCAAAUUGAGUCUCUUGGCCACGGGAAGAGAUUCGGGUUUUUGGGUAGAAUUAGGAUUAAUUCUUGUAACUCAAUUGAAACUCUUUGUAAAGUUACUCGUUUGAUAUAGUGGAACGGAGGGGCUGCUCUCUCCCCCAGACUAGGUCAUUAUUGGACCGAACUGGGUAAACAAAUAUUGCGUUC